AGCUUUUACAACAACAAUAAAAAAUAUAUAUCACAAUGUAUCAUCAUGAUAUAUAUACAUAAUAUACACAUACAAUGUGGCAGAAGCAGCUCAGGGGAGAGGGAGCGUUGAGGAUAGGACGGAGUGCGAGUUAUAUAGCUUUCAGAGGGCCAGAGUUGUGGGCAGUUGGAUGGUAUUGUAUAUAUACUUGCGCUUAUGUAAUAGUAGGUAAGA
rnacentral:rRNA from 1 species